GACGUAGGGCGCGAGCGUUGUCCGGAUUUAUUGGGCGUAAGGAGCUCGUAGGCGGCUUGUUGCGUCGACUGUGAAAACCUGCGGCUCAACCGUGUGGUCUGCAGUCGAUACGGGCAGGCUGGAGUUCGGUAGGGGAGACUGGAAUUCCUGGUGUAGCGGCGAAAUGCGCAGAUAUCAGGAGGAACACCGGUGGCGAAGGCGGGUCUCUGGGCCGAUGACUGACGCUGAGGAGCGAAAGCGUGGGGAGCGAACAGG
rnacentral:rRNA from 1 species